rnacentral:rRNA from 1 species
UGGGGAAUUUUGGACAAUGGGGGAAACCCUGAUCCAGCCAUCCCGCGUGUGCGAUGAAGGCCUUCGGGUUGUAAAGCACUUUUGGCAGGGAAAGAAACGUCGCGGGUUAAUACCCCGCGAAACUGACGGUACCUGCAGAAUAAGCACCGGCUAACUACGUGCCAGCAGCCGCGGUAAUACGUAGGGUGCAAGCGUUAAUCGGAAUUACUGGGCGUAAAGCGUGCGCAGGGCGGUUUCGGAAAGAAAGAUGUGAAAUCCCAGAGCUUAACUUUGGAGCUGCAUUUUUAACUACCGGGCUAGAGUGUGUCAGAGGGAGGUGGAAUUCCGCGUGUAGCAGUGAAAUGCGUAGAUAUGCGGAGGAACACCGAUGGCGAAGGCAGCCUCCUGGGAUAACACUGACGCUCAUGCACGAAAGCGUGGGGAGCAAACAGGAUUAGAUACCC